rnacentral:rRNA from 1 species
GCAUCACGGUGGCGGCGGCCUGGGUAGUAGGUGGGGUGGGAGGGGUUGCAAGAUUGAUGGUGCGUGAGUAGGCGGUAGGCGGUGGGUGGCGUCGGUCGUGAAAGCCGUGGGCGGAACGGGGGGCGGGCGGUCGAUACGUGCAUCACUGGAGUUCGGCAGGGGAGACUGGAAUUCCUGGGGUAGCGGUGAAAUGCGCAGAUAUCAGGAGGAACACCGGUGGCGAAGGCGGGUCUCUGGGCCGAUACUGACGCUGAGGAGCGAAAGCGUGGGGAGCGAACAGGAUUAGAUACCCUUGUAGUC